rnacentral:rRNA from 1 species
CCGCGGUAAUACGGAGGGUGCGAGCGUUAAUCGGAAUUACUGGGCGUAAAGCGCACGUAGGCGGCGAUCUAAGUCAGAGGUGAAAGCCCGGAGCUCAACUCCGGAACUGCCUUUGAGACUAGGUUGCUUGAAUCUAGGAGAGGUGAGCGGAAUUCCGAGUGUAGAGGUGAAAUUCGUAGAUAUUCGGAAGAACACCAGUGGCGAAGGC